rnacentral:rRNA from 1 species
GGAGUUACGUUAAGUAGCAAGGUUAAGCACUUAAGGUGCGGAGCCGUAGCGAAAGCGAGUUUUAACUGAGCGUUCAGUUACUUGACGGAGACCCGAAACCGGGCGACCUACCCAUGAGCAGGAUGAAGCGAAAGUAAAAGUUCGUGGAGGUCCGAACCCACGAGCGUUGAAAAGCUCGGGGAUGACUUGUGGGUAGCGGUGAAAUUCCAAUCGAGCCCGGAGAUAGCUGGUUCUCCCCGAAAUAGCUUUAGGGCUAGCCUCAAGGUGAGAGAUACGGAGGUAGAGCACUGAAUGUCCUAGGGG